UACGUAGGGAGCAAGCGUUGUCCGGAAUCAUUGGGCGUAAAGCGCGCGUAGGUGGCUUCGUAAGUCCGUUGUGAAAGUCAAAGGCUCAACCUUUGAAAGCCGAUGGAUACUGCGGAGCUAGAGUACGGAAGAGGCGAGUGGAAUUCCUGGUGUAGCGGUGGAAUGCGCAGAUAUCAGGAGGAACACCGGUGGCGAAGGCGGCUCACUGGACCGGAACUGACGCUGAGGCGCGAAAGCGUGGGGAGCAAACAGG
rnacentral:rRNA from 1 species